rnacentral:rRNA from 1 species
UGGGGAAUAUUGCACAAUGGGCGCAAGCCUGAUGCAGCCAUGCCGCGUGUAUGAAGAAGGCCUUCGGGUUGUAAAGUACUUUCAGCGGGGAGGAAGGGAGUAAAGUUAAUACCUUUGCUCAUUGACGUUACCCGCAGAAGAAGCACCGGCUAACUCCGUGCCAGCAGCCGCGGUAAUACGGAGGGUGCAAGCGUUAAUCGGAAUUACUGGGCGUAAAGCGCACGCAGGCGGUUUGUUAAGUCAGAUGUGAAAUCCCCGGGCUCAACCUGGGAACUGCCUCUGAUACUGGCAAGCUUGAGUCUCGUAGAGGGGGGUAGAAUUCCAGGUGGAGCGGUGAAAUGCGUAGAGAUCUGGAGGAAUACCGGUGGCGAAGGCGGCCCCCUGGACGAAGACUGACGCUCAGGUGCGAAAGCGUGGGGAGCAAACAGG